AGACAGACAGACAAACAUUUAGAUGGAUGGACAGACAGACAGAAAUGUGGUAAACAGACAGACAGUUGAAUGGAUGGAUGGAUGGAUGGAUGGAUGGAUGGAUGAUGGACAGAGAGUUGAAUGGAUGGAUGGAUGGACAGACAGACAGGUGAAUAGAUGGAUGGAUGGAUGGAUGGAUGGAUAGAUGGAUGGACAGACAGGUGAAUAGAUGGAUGGAUGGAUGGAGGGAUAGAUGGAUGGACAGACAGGUGAAUAGAUGGAUGGAUGGACGGAUGGAUAGAUGGAUGGACAGACAGGUGAGUAGAUGGAUGGAUGGAUGGAUGGACAGACAGGUGAAUAGAUAGAUGGAUGGAUGGACGGACAGGUGAAUAGAUAGAUGUAUGGAUUUAUAGAUGGAUGGACAGACAGGUGAAUAGAUGGAUGGAUGGAUGGACAGACAGGUGAAUAGAUAGAUGUAUGGAUUUAUAGAUGGAUGGACAGACAGGUGAAU
ensembl:lncRNA